AUGAUGGGGAAAGGUAUAGGUCAGGGAAAACAUCAUUAGUAGCAGGUACAUUUUGUCCACAAAGAAAUACAUUUGUUUUUAAAGUAAUGUAUUAAUUGAGCAGACAUACAGGGAGCAUCUACAAUGGACUAGCACUGUGAGUGAUGAUAUAAAAAUGAACAAACACAAUCUCUGACCUCAAAAUGUUCCCAACACAUAUAUAAACAAAUGAGUGUUUUUGAAAAUCCAGAAGAUGAAAUGUGCUAAAGUAAAUGAGCCAAUAAGUAAGCAAACAAAAAAUAAAACAGGAGGUAGGAGCAGAAUACUUGAUUAAUUCAGUGGAUGGCAAAAUUACCUAUUAGAGAUACUGAAGAAUAAAAAUUCUGUGCCUUUUCACAUAAAAUAUGCUGGCUGUUCUCUGAAAGGAUCUGAGCUGGGUUUGGAAAACAAUAUAGGCAAUAUUUAGUUUGUUCAUUGUGCUUUUCAGAAAUGCCAUGACCCAUCCUUAAAUCACAAACUAAUUUUAAUUCUGCAUGUGUGAAAAGCCUUGUUUUUGAAUUCUUUUUUUUUUUUUUUUCCUUCCUGGCUGCCUUCCUUUGUUUACAUUCUCUCUCUCUCUCUCACACACACACACAUGCACACACACACACACACACACCAUCAACAUUUAUGUUUACCAGGCUCAUUAGUCUUAGGAUUUGACUCUCACUUUCUCUAACAAUACACCAAAUGAAUCCAUGGCUUAUUAACUUUUCUUUGUUUUUUUGAAAUGCAUAUCUGAGGAAUGAUUUAAAGUUUUGUUUUAAAUUUGUGCGACAAAUUGUGAUAAUUUUUAUCUGGAAAGGAGCUUGUUUGGCAUGCAUGCAAAACUGGCAGGAUGCCACAAUAAGCCAAGCUGCCCUGGCAUCUCUAAAUGGAUCAAUGAACCAUAAAUAAAUCUCUGCAAUAAACUGAGAGAAGAAACCCAGUCCAGUCUCCUGUCACCAUAACCUGUGACUGUAUUUUCCAAGUUGAAUGAUAGUCAUUCAUUUACUGGGCAAACAUUGAUUAAGCAGCAAACCAAGAUGAGAAGUGAGUUCAAGCCCACUAUUUCCCCAAGCACCACUAGAUU
rnacentral:lncRNA from 1 species